rnacentral:lncRNA from 1 species
GGCAAUGUGCUGAGCGUGGGAGAGAGGACCGAGGCGAACGAGAUCCAGUCCAUGUCGUUAAAGUUCAAGGCCGCUGCAGGACCGGGUGAGGAAGAGCAAACAGGCCCCAUGUCACCUGCUGGGGCUUGCAGCUGCGGGAACCUCCUGGAGCCUGGGGGUAAGGGGCGAUUCUCAGGAAAGCCUUCUUGGGGGAAGUCGUUCUGAGCCGAGCCUUGACGGAGGACGUGAGAUGUUCAUACCUCCCCCCCCCCCCAAUUCCUGGAAUGGAACAUUCCAGUUUCUUCUCUCACAGAAGAAGGAAGCAUAGAUCUUCAGGCUUGGAGGAGUUCCACGUCCAGCUAAAUCCCCAACCAGCCACAGGUCCUGCCUUCUGGGGUUUGGGAUCAGAGUCCAACGAUGGGGCUUGAACCCCAGGCCUGCCUCAGGCAGACUGCGCCCGCUGUCUUCCACACCUGACCGGCCUUGAGGACUCUGUGAAGUCACCAUUGUGAAGAACAAGCUGUAAAGGAGGCCAGCUGCUGGAUGCCUACUGUACACGUGCCUCGAUGACCACGCACAGGAGCUUUCUUCUAAUGAACCUUUUCUGCGUUGGCCUCCUUUACUUGCCGGCUAGGUGUCUACACAAGAGAAACGAAGAACUGUGUCCACGCAGAGACUUGUAUACAAAUGUUCACAGAAGUGGUCUUUGUAGUCCCCCCAAAUGGAAACUCCCCAAACGUCCGUAAGCAGGGCUUCAUCUUAUGUAGAGUUUGCUUCCCUGUUUCUUGACUUUGCGUUUCACCAUGAGACAUUUCAAAGACUGGACAUGUCCACCCCAGCCAACUCCCAGUCUCUCAGAGAGAAGCCAAGCUCUCCCAGGAAGCAAACUGGCCGAAUGAACCUGGAUCAGCCAAACCCCAGCUGACUUGAGUAUCCUUGAAAAUAAAC